rnacentral:lncRNA from 1 species
GGGACUCACCUGAAAUUGCUGGUUAGAAAGGGAAGCAGUGGCCCACUUUUCAGUAGAUUUUAUACUUCUCAAGACGUGAACAUUCCGGGGCAGGUAAAGUUCCUAUGGAAAGUGCUUAGUGUCCACGAGAUUGGCUAUAAAAACAACCGUGAAUAUGACUAGCUUUGAGAGUCAGAAACUCUGAUCAUCUGCCAAGGCUCUCCACCGGCAAGAAAAAGGUCAUUGUGUCUAAGCCCAAAGCCAUGAGAUGGAGGAAUACACUCUUCCCUCAUUGAGGAGUUGACUCUCCUAUAAGUCAUGAAACUUAUGAAUUUGAAGCAAGUAGAAGCCUGCUAAGUUCUUGUGCACCGAGGCUUUUCUUUUGGAAUGCCGUCUUGAGACCACCAUGAUAUGGAGAAACUCCCCGGGAAGGAGCCCAGGUGAAAGGCCAUGUGGAGAGAGAGGUCCAGCCAUUCCAGGCUUUGCAGAUAAGUUCAAACCCUGGCCAAUUAGCCAGCUUAAUGCAGCAUAUGAGGGAGCCCAGGGUUUCUGCAAGUGGAUUAAUCAGCCCUGUGUAUUCAUUCUACCACCAGAGCAACAAUUCAUUUUGAUUAUUAUGUUACGAAUACCAGCGACAUUCAAUAGACCUUGCAGAGAAAUGUAUAUGAGCUUGGGCAAAUAUCCACUGUAGCACACGAGACAGAUCAGAUAAUAAUAGCAGCUGCAGGUUCUGGAACAUCACAGAGUCCCUCCAUGAUACCCACUGAAUUGGAAUGUCAACCUGGUGAUGUAGUUCAUCCUUAUCACCUAAAAAAUUCUACAGUAAUGGCAAAUAUAGCACAUGUGUUUAAAAAUCAGUAUUCAUAUCACCUUUUGUACAGUCCAAAUAGCUUUAAUAGUGAAUGUCCAAGAGCCUUUACAUUAAUUGCUAAAUGCCGAUAGUAAGAAAGUAAAUGAAAUUUAACCCCAACCCUCCCUAGGGGCUGUGGG